UUUUGCUCGACUGUCCUUUAUUUGGCUCAUCACAACCGAAGGGGUAUCGAGCUUUCUACUCAGGACUCUCUCCAGCUGUACUCGCCUUGUUCCAACCGCACCGCUAUCCCCUGGACUUAAAGCCCAGUCGCCGCUGGGGACAGGGUAAGAGCCGUCUGUGCACCUAAACGAGCGUGGCGCGAAGAUCCGGAGGCAGAUUCGGACACACUCCCCGAUCAUCUGGGAUGAUCGGUCCGGAGCCAGCGCCAUUGGCUUCUCUCAAAGCUCAGCCCGUCUAAGACCUGUGAUCGGAACCCGGAGACCUUGAAACUCUCGGAAGCCGCGUUUUAAAACCGGGAGCGAGAAAGAAAGAGAUGAAGGAGAGGGAGGGAAGAAAGGAGGAAGGUAGGAAUGCCUAAGGAACCCCCGAGUUAGUGGCGUCUCCUACCAUCAGCCGCAGACCGAACCUUCGGAGGAUUCCAACCCCAACCUUCAAGCCAGUUGAAAAUGAAGGGAACAACAUAUCCCCUGUCCGGAUUCCAGGCUCUCAGGAUCUGCUUCCCUGAUGGCUCAGUGGUAAAGAAUCCACCUUGCAAUGCAAUGGACACAGGUUCAAUCCCUGGUCUGGGAAGAUCCCACAUGCCUCAAAGCAAAUAAGGCCACACGCCACAACUACUCAGCCUGUAUUCCAGAGCCCACGAGCCGCAACUACUGAAGCCCGUGGAUUCUGGAGCCUGUGUUCCACAACAAGAAAAGCCACUACAACGAGAAGCCCUCGGCACUGCAAUGAAAGAGUAACCCCUGCUCACUGCAACUAGAGAAAGUCCAUGCAGCAACAAAGACCCAGUACAGCCAAAAAGAAAUAAAUAAAACAUAGUCGAUCAGGGAAUUCCCUGGCAAUCUAGUGGUUAGGACUCAGUGGUUUCAUUUAUUGCUAAGGCCCAGGUUCAAUCCCUAGUUGGGAAACUAAGACCCUGUAAGCCAAGCAACUCAGCUAAAACACCAAAAGAACCCAGGAAACAAUAGUCAUAUCACCUUCUUUUCAGUACCUAUUUUCUAUUUUUCCUGCUCAACUGGAUUAGUUAGAACCUCUUGGGAAGCAAUGAAUAAGUGUUGAUAGUAGGUACUCUUCCUGUGUUCACUAUCUUAAGGGGAUAUCUCAAUAGUUUCUCAGCAUGAAAACUAUUUGCUGUGUGUUUUCUCAUAAACUCCUUUUAUCACUUCCCAAAAGUUUGGUCAUAGUUCUAAUUGUCUAAGAGGCUUUAUCACGAAUGAAUAUCCAAAAUGUAUUAUAUAUAAAUUUAUUAUAUAUUUAUUAUAUAUAUAUCAAGUGAUUUUUCUCAUUUGAUCUUCUAAUCUGUCAAGUUACAAACUGAUUGAUUUUCUAGUGCUAAAAUGAACAUUAAAUUCCUCAUUUAGAUACAGUGCUAUGUGUCAAUUAUAUCUCAGUAAAACUAGAAGAAAAAAAUAAAUGAAUUCCUGAUUCAAAUCA